UACGGGGAGAGCAAGCGUUGUUCGGAUUUACUGGGCGUAAAGGGCGCGUAGGCGGCCACCGCAAGUCAGUUGUGAAAUCUCUGGGCUUAACCCAGAAAGGUCAACUGAUACUGCGGGGCUAGAGUGCAGAAGGGGCAACUGGAAUUCUCGGUGUAGCGGUGAAAUGCGUAGAUAUCGAGAGGAACACCUGCGGCGAAGGCGGGUUGCUGGGCUGACACUGACGCUGAGGCGCGAAAGCUAGGGGAGCGAACGGG
rnacentral:rRNA from 1 species